CUAUUUGCCCACCCCUAGUUUCAACGAUCCAACCGUCAAACAUGUUUAUAUAUACUUCGAGAUCGCAUAUGCCAAAAAUUGCAAAAAAUUAAACAUUCAGAGAUCAAGUAACUGGACAAAACUUUUCAACGGUUAUCAACGAAAAAUCACGAUUUAACGGUUAUUUUAACUUCGAUUUUGAUGAUUUUUACAGCUACACUUCUUGACCCUAUAUUAAUAUAAUGAAUGAACUCGAUCUUCAAUUUAAAAUAUUUACACUAGUAGAUACCACAAAAUCUUAUGUCAUACUUAAUGAAAGUAUGAAUAAACUCUUAAAUGUUAGUGAAUCUAUCGUUUUGAUGGGAUACGCAUUCUACGAAACUAAUUUCAAUGAUCCAACCGUCAAACUUGUUUGUAUAUGAUUCGAGAUCGCAUACGCUAAAAAUCGCAAAAAACAAACAUUCAAAGAUUAGGUACCUGGACAAAACGUUUCGACGGUUAUUAAUGAAAAAUCACGACUUAACGAUUAUUUUAACUUUGAUUUUGAUGAUUUUUUAUAGCUACACUCCUUGACCUUAUAUGAAUACAAUGAAUGAACUCGAUCUUCAAUUUAAAAUAUUUACACUAGUAGAUACCACAAAAUCUUAUGUUAUACUUAAAGCAAGUAUGAAUAACCUCAUAAGUGUUAGUGAAUCUAUUGUUUUGAUGUGAUACGCAUUUUAUGAAACUAGUUUCAACGAUCCAACCGUCAAACAUGUUUGUAUAUACUUUGAGAUCGUAUACGCCAAAAAUUGCAAAAAAAAAAUAUUCAGAGAUCAAGUAACGGGAAAAAACUUUUCGACAGUUAUCAACGAAAAAUCACGAUUUAACGGUUAUUUUAACUCUGAUUUUGAUGAUUUUUUACAACUACACUCCUUGACCCUAUAUGAAUACAAUGAAUGAAUUAGAUCUUUAAUUUAAAAUAUUUACACUAGUGGAUACCACAAAAUCUUAUGUUAUACUUAAUGAAAGUAUGAAUAAACUCUUAAGUGUUAGUAAAUCUAUCGUUUUGAUGGGAUACGCAUUCUACGAAACUAGUUUCAACGAUCCAACCGUCAAACAUGUUUGUAUAUACUUUGAGAUCCCAUACACCAAAAAUUGAAAAAAACAAAUAUUCAGAGAUCAAGUAACGGGACAAAACUUUUCGACGGUUAUCAACAAAAAAUUACGAUUUAACGGUUAUUGUAACUUUGAUUUUGAUGAUUUUUUACAACUACACUCCUUGACCCUAUAUGAAUACAAUGAAUGAAUUAGAUCUUCAAUUUAAAAUAUUUACUUAUGUUAUACUUAAUGAAUGUAUGAAUAAACUCUUAAGUAUUAGUAAAUCUAUCGUUUUGAUGGGAUACGCAUUCUAUGAAACUAAUUUCAAUGAUUCAACUGUCAAACUUGUUUGUGUAUGCUUCAAGAUCGCAUAUGCCAAAAAUUGCAAAAAACAAACAUUCAGAUAUCAAGUAACGGGACAAAACUUUUCGACUGUUAUCAACGAAAAAUCACGAUUUAAUGGUUAUUUUAACUCCAAUUUUGAUGAUUUUUUUACGGCUACACUCUUUGACCCUAUAUGAAUACAAUGAAUGAAUUCGAUCUUCAAUUUAAAAUAUUUACACUAGUGGAUACCACAAAAUCUUAUGUCAUGAUGAUCGAUGAAAAUUGAGGAUUUGUAUAAGGAAUCACAUGCAAGUUUUGAGUUCCAUUGGCAAUGUUUAAACUUUUGAGAAAGGCUUCACAACCUUUAUAACAAAAACUCUUUCAUUUUGCAUAUCCUUGCAUGUUUAAUGAUCGGAUCAUAUUUAUAUAUAUUUUUACUUCGAAUUCACUCGUCUUUUCUUAGUUAGUUCCUU
rnacentral:lncRNA from 1 species